UACGUAGGGGGCAAGCGUUGUCCGGAUUUAUUGGGCGUAAAGCGCGUGUAGGCGGCUUGGCAAGUCCGCUGUGAAACUCGAGGCUCAACCUCGAGAUGUCGGUGGAAACUGCCUGGCUAGAGUCCGGAAGAGGAGAGUGGAAUUCCUGGUGUAGCGGUGAAAUGCGCAGAUAUCAGGAGGAACACCGGUGGCGAAGGCGGGACUCUGGGCCGAUACUGACGCUGGAGGAGCGAAAGCGUGGGGAGCGAACAGG
rnacentral:rRNA from 1 species